rnacentral:rRNA from 1 species
GAUGAACGCUGGCGGCGUGCCUAACACAUGCAAGUCGAGCGAAGCGCCUUACUUGAUUUCUUCGGGAUGAAAGUAUUGUGACUGAGCGGCGACGGGUGAGGUAACGCGUAGGAUAACCUGCCUCAUACAGGGGGAUAACAGUUAGAAAUGACUGCUAAUACCGCAUAAGACCACAGCACCGCAUGGUGCAGGGGUAAAAACUCCGGUGGUAUGAGAUGGAUCCGCGUCUGAUUAGCUAGUUGGUAAGGUAACGGCUUACCAAGGCAACGAUCAGUAGCCGACCUGAGAGGGUGACCGGCCACAUUGGGACUGAGACACGGCCCAA